rnacentral:rRNA from 1 species
AUACGGGGGGGGCUAGCGUUGUUCGGAAUUACUGGGCGUAAAGCGCACGUAGGCGGAUUAAAAAGUUAGAGGUGAAAUCCCAGGGCUUAACCCUGGAACUGCUUUUAAAACUAGUAGUCUAGAGUUCGAGAGAGGUGAGUGGAAUUCCAAGUGUAGAGGUGAAAUUCGUAGAUAUUUGGAGGAACACCAGUGGCGAAGGCGGCUCACUGGCUCGAUACUGACGCUGAGGUGCGAAAGCGUGGGGAGCAAACAGGAUUAGAAACCCCGGUAGUCC